rnacentral:tRNA from 1 species
UAUGGCCAAGUUGGUAAGGCACCUCACUAGUAAUGAGGAGAUCGUCAGUUCGAAUC